GUUUUGUGUGAACAAACACUUUUACUUCUCUUGAACAAACACCUAGGAGUUUGGGUGCUGCGUCAUAUGGAAUGGUGCCAUGUAUAAGUUCCCCCAAAGUGGAACCUGAGACAAAGACAGAUGCAGAUGGAGAUAUGAGUUCCUUUGGAAUUACGUCAAAGGAAAAAUCUUUGGGAGAAACAUGCUGUCAUAAUGAUUUCUUUUCCUUUGCAAAAAAAAAAAGCCAGAGGUCGGAAAAGCCAUAAGUCCAUGAUGCAGAUCCUCCUGUGGAGGAGAGGGGAAGGAAGGACGCUUGGGUAGAAAAGACCACAAAACUAUAGCAGAGUUCUAAGGUAGGUUUGGAAAAGUUGAUGAAGAGUCUUCAAGCCAAGGUGCCCAUCAGUAUAGUCUAGUACCUCUCAUGAAUGAACCUGCCUCAGUAGCCUACCAUGUUGAGUUAUCAGACUGUCAGCAGUGGCUUUGGCACCAACUCGCUGAUGAAUUUCUGAGUGCAGCAGCAGGGCCAGUUACUUACACUCUGCACUGGGAGAGCUGAGAGGGACACUUUCAUCUUCACUACAAUUAUCUUUUGAUAAAUCAAAGAGCACUCUUUUGAAUCAAAAAUAAGGUUUCAGCUCUCCAUAAUUUUCUUAUAAUAGAGUAGGUGGAAGAGGGUACACUCCAGUAUUUCUAGAAGACUACUCAAAAUCUGCCUAGAAGAGAGAGUGUUGUACUCAUCCUAAACACAAAUUUCCUCCUGUGGAAGCACAAACUGGAACAACUGCCAACUUGCAAAACUGCCCAGAUUAACUCUAAGAAGCAUCUGGAACAACUUGGACCCCAGAAUAGGAAGCACCUAGGAGCAGAAGUUGCUCUCGUGAGGUUUAUUCCUGUAUCUGCAGCAUCUGGCAUUUCAUACAACCCAAGUUUUGCUGGCACUUGCCUUACUUACUUGCCUUGCCGUACUUGCUGUUGAAGUACUUUUUGCCUCCCCAUAAAUUUCCUUUUGCUACACUGUUUCCUAAAUUCUUCUGGGAGUGUCCCUCAACUUCAAAACCAAAUCCUGUCAGCUAUUAUGAAGCAUCUGAUUUUUAAACUUCUUCCAUUCUAGUCUUCUUACCCUAGACACCUCCAAUAGUUGUUUUUGACAGCUGUUUUGUUGGGGUUCUAAAUGUAUUAAACUCUCCUGAAAGUGUAAGUUCUCUAGUGAAAUAAAGCCAUGUUGUAUUUGUGUAGAAAUGAAGAGACUAUCUCUGUCUGUUUAGAAUUGAAUAUGUACAUAUUAAUUACAGGUACCAAAAAGAAAAGGUAAGAUAUUAUUCCUGUGCUAUCUGAAUAUUAAAGAGAUUUUAGUGAGCAAGCUUUUAUCAGAACUUUGUAUCAUUCC
rnacentral:lncRNA from 1 species